rnacentral:rRNA from 1 species
AGAGUUGAUUCUGGCUCAGGAUGAACGCUAGCGACAGGCUUAACACAUGCAAGUCGAGGGGCAGCAUAGAAGUAGCAAUACUUGGUGGCGACCGGCGCACGGGUGAGUAACGCGUAUGCAACCUACCUAUCAGAGGGGAAUAACCCGGCGAAAGUCGGACUAAUACCGCAUAAAACAGGGGCACCGCAUGGUGAUAUUUGUUAAAGAAAUUCGCUGAUAGAUGGGCAUGCGUUCCAUUAGGUAGUUGGUGAGGUAACGGCUCACCAAGCCGACGAUGGAUAGGGGAACUGAGAGGUUGGUCCCCCACACUGGUACUGAGACACGGACCAGACUCCUACGGGAGGCAGCAGUGAGGAAUAUUGGUCAAUGGGCGGGAGCCUGAACCAGCCAAGUCGCGUGGAAAAGGAAGAAGGAUCUAUGGUUCGUAAACUUCUUUUGCAGGGGAAUAAAGUGCAGGACGUGUCCUGUUUUGUAUGUACCCUGAGAAUAAGGAUCGGCUAACUCCGUGCCAGCCGCAGC